rnacentral:misc_RNA from 1 species
AGCAAUUCCAACCUCAAUCUCAACAACUUCAUGCCCAGCCUCAACAACAAUUUCGACCUCAAUCUCAACCACAUACCCAGCCUCAACAACAAUUCCGACCUGAAUCUCAACUUCAGUUUCAGCCACAAUUGCAGUCACAGUAUUCUCAAUACUCAUCUGGCUACCCCCCUCCGCCCUGGGCUGCUACACCUGGUUAUGCCAAUGGCCAAAGUCGUAUGUCUACAGCUAAUAAUAUGUUCUCAACCCCACAAGCCAAUGCAGCUACAUCUUAUACACCUACACAAGCAGCUAGGCCCAUGCAGCAUUAUAACUCCUUUCCUACAAGAGGAAUCAAUGGAGUAGCCAUGAAUGGUGAUCCUAUAGUGAAUUCUGGACC